AAUAGAUACCCCGGUAGUCCAUGCCGUAAACGUUGGGAACUAGAUGUAGGGCCUGUUCCACGGGUUCUGUGUCGUAGCUAACGCAUUAAGUUCCCCGCCUGGGGAGUACGGCCGCAAGGCUAAAACUCAAAGGAAUUGACGGGGGCCCGCACAAGCGGCGGAGCAUGCGGAUUAAUUCGAUGCAACGCGAAGAACCUUACCAAGGCUUGACAUAUAGAAGAACACUGCAGAGAUGCAGGACUCUUUGGACACUUCUAUACAGGUGGUGCAUGGUUGUCGUCAGCUCGUGUCGUGAGAUGUUCGGUUAAGUCCGGCAACGAGCGCAACCCUCGUCCUAUGUUGCCAGCGGGUGAUGCCGGGAACUCGAUGGGGUACUGCCGUGGUAACACGGAGGAAGGUGGGGAUGACGUCAAAUCAUCAUGCCCCUUAUGUCUUGGGCUUCACGCAUGCUACAAUGGCCGGUACAAAGGGCGGCGAUACCGUAAGGUGGAGCGAAUCCCAAAAAGCCGGUCUCAGUUCGGAUUGGGGUCUGCAACUCGA
rnacentral:rRNA from 1 species